rnacentral:rRNA from 1 species
CAGUCGCCACGGGAAUACGUAGGUGGCGAGCGUUGUCCGGAAUUAUUGGGCGUAAAGGGAGCGCAGGCGGACAUAUAAGUCCAUCUUAAAAGUGCGGGGCUCAACCCCGUGAGGGGAUGGAAACUGUAUGCCUUGAGUGCAGGAGAGGAAAGCGGAAUUCCCAGUGUAGCGGUGAAAUGCGUAGAUACUGGGAGGAACACCAGUGGCGAAGGCGGCUUUCUGGACUGCAACUGACGCUGAGGCUCGAAAGCCAGGGGAGCGAUCGGGAUUAGAUACCCCUGUAGUCCCUGUCUCUUAUACA